AUUGGACAAUACAACGUGUGGAUUAUCACAUUGUUUUACUACAAUUUGAUGAACUCCCAAAACAAACGAAGUUCAAGGAUUUUUUGGACAGCAGAGUCACCUACAUCUAUGGUGAGUUUUGUUCUAUUAUAAAUAACUCUCGUUAAGUGUUAGGAGUAAGAAUGUAAUGACUGUUUUCGCAAGUUCUAAACCAUUGGCGGGAAAACAAGUUAUAGAAACAGAGCUUGAAAUAAACAGCGUUGUCCUGAGAUGAAAUACCUACAGUAACCCUUGUUUCUUCGUGUGUCCACAAGUUUGGUUGCUUUCUAUUUUUUGUUUCUUUGUUUAUCCUCAAUUUGGGAUGUUCGCAUAUCAACAGUUUAACAGGUGUGGUAACAUCGUUAGCUAACUUGUCUAAAUUGUGUUUCUUAGGGUAUCAACAAGUUUGAAUUUUAUAAUAUGGGCUUACUCCUUGUAACUUUUAUCAACUGAUACGUAACGUUGGCUAAAUCGUGUUUCUUUGUGUAACGUUAUCCACAUGUGGACUUGUUUCAAUUCCGUUAAUGAGGUGUCUGUGUAUCCACAUUGUUUUUAGCUAGCCUGUGUGUCUUAUGCUGCCGUUUUUUUUAACUUAUUUUAUAAACAUUGCUUUCAGGUGAUGCCGUUUUCUGUAGUAUUGUUCCCGGAGGAGGAUGACUGUGUGGCAGCAGUUCCACGCCAGUACUCCAAGGCACCAGAGAGGUACUCCAUGCCACCAUGUAAAGGAUGGCUACAUAAGUGUGGGUUCAUUCACUUAACCCAGAUGCUUAACUUGUUAUUAAAGCAUGUUUCUUCCAAUUUAAUUUGUCAAUUUCAAUUUAUUUUUAAGGGCAAAAAGGCAGAGGUAGGGGGACGUUUUAGCUCUGCACAAGAAGAACAUUUGGAGAAGAUCAAGUGGCUGACUGAAGAGAAGGUCGAGCUGAGGGCACAGCU
ensembl:lncRNA